UGUUUUUUCUGAUUUUCUUUCUUUUCCUUUUUCAUUUUAAAUUUAUUUUUCUUUUAAAAUUCAUAAAAAACUCAUGUUGCAUCCAAAAAUUACCAAAAUAAUUUCUAAUUUUUUUCUUCAUUUGAUAUUUAUUUUUCAACAUUUUAUUUUCUUGAUUUUCUAUUUUUCUAGAAUUUUCUCUUUUUUCCUUUGUUUUAAUUGGUUUAAAAAUACUUUUAAGCAUUUAAACUUUUUGAAAAAAUU
rnacentral:lncRNA from 1 species